rnacentral:tRNA from 2 species
GCGGCCGUAGCCAAAAGGAUCAAGGCGUCUGGCUUCGGACCAGAAGAUUGGGGGUUCGAGUCCUCCCGGCCGCGCCA